UACGAAGGGGGCUAGCGUUGCUCGGAAUCACUGGGCGUAAAGGGUGCGUAGGCGGGUCUUUAAGUCAGGGGUGAAAUCCUGGAGCUCAACUCCAGAACUGCCUUUGAUACUGAAGAUCUUGAGUUCGGGAGAGGUGAGUGGAACUGCGAGUGUGGAGGUGAAAUUCGUAGAUAUUGGGAAGAACACCGGUGGCGAAGGCGGCUCACUGGCUCAUUACUGACGCUCAGGCGCGAUAGCGUGGGGAGCAAACAGG
rnacentral:rRNA from 1 species